rnacentral:rRNA from 1 species
AACACUAACACCUGGUCCCAGUCCUCCAAAUCCGUCUCCACCAUAACCCCUGUCUCGAACAGAACAAACACACAUUCAAACUUUAAAAACUUUGGGUCCACACAUUCGUCAUAUUCAGAAAAAACCUCCCACCCUUCCAAGGUGUAGAGAACGGUAGGUUAUACGAAGUCAAUGUCUACGUCCAGACUCUCCGGAAUCGACUAUAAACUAAGGUAGGGCUUCCGGUAACUGUAUUGUGGCGUGUUUGGUGCAAAGUCUGUUUCACCCCAAAAGUAUAACCUGUAGACGGUAUUCUAGAAGUUUCUAAAACCACAUAAGGACCUGACAAACUGGUACGACGAAUUGUAAUAACUUAAAGAGACAAUUUAGUAUUCUUGGUCUACGACUCUUAGACACAUGUUAGACGAGAGGUUUAAGUCAGGUUCACGAGGACGGUAAACCUUCUUGAACAACGAAACGGAUUAGGUUGGGUGACCUAGUCACGGUAGUUUAAAACCCUUCAGGUAAGAUCCAGGGAAGCAGUAACUAAAGUACUUGACACGAAAGUAAAGGACUCCAAGACAUUAUUGGAACGGUGUUGACUGAGAGUGCCAACAAUUAUACAACCAAUUUGUGUCCUCACACCUGUACGGACCUUCAUGGACGUCUUCCUCAACCUGGAAGACAGUGAACUAGAACUAGAGAGACGAACAGCUUUGGUCCUCCGAACCACUGUAAAUUACCCCCAUCGGAGACGUAUUUGUGGAGGAGUGUUGCAGACCAAACAAGAAAAAGAAAAAGGUCAACACGAGCUUCGUUUCGUAAUGCUAAGAGAACAAGGUCGUUCCAUCCUCUAAAAUGACCACGUGAUCACGGACAUAGUCAACAAAAGAGAGACAAAGACGGUCCACCUAGACCAGAUUCACUAAAGUUCUGAAGUCAGUAGCGACUAUUGACAUUAGGAUAGAGACUUUGUCUAAAAACUUGUAGGAGGUGACGAUGACUGUACUCUAGAACGAAGACGGGUUACCAUGCAUGGAGUCAAACCUCAUGACAGUACAGUCUAGCUUCCCUAAGUCAGAGGAAGACUAACAGUUCCUGGAGCCUAGAGUAUCGAUCCUCUAGGACUUAUAGUCUAAGAAGGUACCACGGGAACGACGCUGGGUAGCACUUCCUUUGACCCGUCUCUAAACGAACCAACAAUGGAUUGUCUCUACGGCGACCUUUCACUCAGCUCCUUGACGCGGCGGCGGUUUUGCCACAUGUCUAGCCUUAGCGCCACCCUAAAAUGUGGACUUCUUUUCAAGGGGCCGUUGGGGCGCUUGGUCAGCUAGAUGUGGGCUUAUAAACCGGCAGCGGAGGCGGUGCGAGCGGCGGCUAGACUCUGGCGGCGGCGGCACUCUUCCCUCCCUCUCCACCCUAAAAUGCUCUCUAGAGUUGGUGAAGGCGGCGGUGCUGGGCUUAGCGGAGGCUCCUUUUAAAGACCGAGACUUAUGGUGAUACAGUCCUGGGCUGUGACCUAGAUACCUGAUCUCUUGUACAUACAUACUAAAUCUGUUCCUUAAACCCUCCUUUAACGGUUUAGUUCUCCCGGGCAUAAAUAAUUCGAUCCCAACAACAUACACACAAGAUCGGUAGUCCGUCUUACCCCUUAGUUUUUUGUACAAGCGAGUCGGUGUCGGGCCGACAAUAUAUCCGAGUGAACGGCUUCACUGAUUCAUUGACUCAAUUGACAUUCAUUUCUUCUAGAGCCGGCAGCUC